rfam:Puccinia sorghi strain RO10H11247 Scaffold_456, whole genome shotgun sequence.
GGCGACAUGGCCGAGUGGUCUAAGGCGCCGUCUUAAGGUUAGGUGGUAUGUGUCACCCUGAAACCGGCGGUCUUCGGGCGUGGGUUCGAAUCCCACUGUCGUCA